rnacentral:rRNA from 1 species
GAUCAACGCUGGCGGCGUGCCUAAUGCAUGCAAGUCGCACGAACGUCCUUCGGGGCGUUAGUGGCGAACGGCUGAGGAACACGUGCGUACCUGCCUGUUCGUGGGGAAUACCGGGUGGAAACACCCGCUAAUACCGCGUACGCUCAUCUUCGAUGAGGAAAGCCUUCGGGCGCGGACAGUGGGGCGCGCGGCCCAUCAGGUUGAUGGUGUGGUAAUGGCGCACCAUGCCGAUGACGGGUCGCCGGUCUGAGAGGACGGCCAGCCAGACUGGGACUGCGACACGGCCCAGACACCUACGGGUGGCAGCAGCAAGGAAUCUUCCGCAAUGGGCGCAAGCCUGACGGAGCAACGCCGCGUGGAGGACGACGGCCUUCGGGUUGUAAACUCCUUUUCUCAGGGACGAAACGGACGGUACCUGGGGAAUCAGCCCCGGCUAACUACGUGCCAGCAGCCGCGGUAAUACGUAGGGCGCAAGCGUUAUCCGGAAUUAUUGGGCGUAAAGAGCUCGUAGGCGGUUUGUCGCGUCUGCCGUGAAAGUCCGGGGCUCAACUCCGGAUCUGCGGUGGGUACGGGCAGACUAGAGUGAUGUAGGGGAGACUGGAAUUCCUGGUGUAGCGGUGAAAUGCGCAGAUAUCAGGAGGAACACCGAUGGCGAAGGCAGGUCUCUGGGCAUUAACUGACGCUGAGGAGCGAAAGCAUGGGGAGCGAACAGGAUUAGAUACCCUGGUAGUCCAUGCCGUAAACGUUGGGCACUAGGUGUGGGGGACAUUCCACGUUUUCCGCGCCGUAGCUAACGCAUUAAGUGCCCCGCCUGGGGAGUAC